rnacentral:rRNA from 1 species
AAUGAACGCUGGCGGCAUGCCUAACACAUGCAAGUCGAACGAGACCUUCGGGUCUAGUGGCGCACGGGUGCGUAACGCGUGGGAAUCUGCCCUUGGGUUCGGAAUAACAGUGAGAAAUUACUGCUAAUACCGAAUGAUGACGUAAGUCCAAAGAUUUAUCGCCCAAGGAUGAGCCCGCGUAGGAUUAGCUAGUUGGUGAGGUAAAAGCUCACCAAGGCGACGAUCCUUAGCUGGUCUGAGAGGAUGAUCAGCCACACUGGGACUGAGACACGGCCCAGACUCCUACGGGAGGCAGCAGUGGGGAAUAUUGGACAAUGGGCGAAAGCCUGAUCCAGCAAUGCCGCGUGAGUGAUGAAGGCCUUAGGGUUGUAAAGCUCUUUUACCCGGGAUGAUAAUGACAGUACCGGGAGAAUAAGCUCCGGCUAACUCCGUGC